rnacentral:rRNA from 1 species
AUGCGAUGUGCAUUGGUUGCACCGACGACUGGAUCGCCAUAUGUUGCGUCUUCGGCGACAAUGCGCACAAAACUCAUAGCUACCUCUUGCACAAUCCUUUCUCUGACACGACCAUGCCAAUCCCUGAGUGCUCUUAUCGGUAAUAAUGUCUCUGUGCUUUUCGAGAUCCGCAAGGUGCUCAUGCGGUCGACCCCUCAAGACGUGGUCGCUAUUAUGACCAACAACUACAAUUACCCGAUCAUCCUGGUCCGGCCAGGGAAGGGCAUGUGGCUGCCCAGGCCACGAGCGGCGCCCUUCAUCUACAUCAUUGACAUUGCCUUCAUUGGAGAUACGCUCUAUGGGAUCACCAAGGGGGAGGACCUCUUAUGCCUCGAUAUUGCUUUUGAUGACGUCGGCACGCCCACCAUUACUAGAGCCAAGCGUGUCAUAAGGCACCCGUUCAAGGUCGGCAAUCAUUCUAAAGUGUGGAGCAACACUGAUCUCUUCCAUGUCUGGUCAUAUCCAUAUAAGCUUGACGAUGGUUAUGACUUGUGGAGCGACGUUGAUGAGAAGUACCACAAAUAUGUUGGCAAGGAUAAGGACGGGCAAGAUGCUGAGACUCUAAUCGGAGGGCAUGAUGAAGACCGUGCGCAAUAUAAGAUGGCAAAGAACACCGGCAACAACACGAUUCGGGAAGGCAUCAACUAUGAAAACUUGUUGGAUUGUUCAUCACUACCUGGCAAAUCGUCGAGUCUUGCGGGAAGUUGCUCAUGUUGA